rnacentral:lncRNA from 1 species
UAAAUAGCUAGGAAGGAAAUGUUUUUAAUAUUUUAGAAUUGUAUUCUGAAACUGUGAAGUUUAGACCCCAAACAUGUCAAUCUAAUUUUGGGAAAAAUACUUUGAUAAAAGUAAUUUCUACUUAUAUGUGAUUAAGGCAUUUUUUUUUCUCUUCUCUGAUGUAGUUCUGUUGUUUACCCUCUAAUUUGAUGAAACUGAAGGAGUAGGAAAAAAGAAAGUGGUAAUUCAAAACCAUUACUCGCUAUAGUUGACAUUGACUGAAUGACUACGUGUCCAAUGGAUGAAGAAAAGACAUCCUAUUCUCCAUCAGUAGAGCUACAUCCAAGGAGAUUCCUGAAAUUUAUCAAGUUAUUCAAGAUUGUCAUCUGAAGUGGUCCUAAGGUUGAUUUGGUCUGAGCAUUUUAUGUACCUAACGGUGUUGAAUCUGUAGUGCUGAAAAAAUAUUAUUCCAAGUGAAAAAAAAAGGAGACAAUUAACAGUGUGUUACAACUUGAGUAGGUCCAUAACUAAAAUAGAUCUCAGGUAGGAAAUAUAUUUAUCUUUGUUUUCAUUGAUUGCUUCUUAAGAGCUAAAUAACAGCUGUAAGCAUAGUGAUUAUUUAUAUAAAUGUCCAUUAAGUAGCAGUUACAUUUCACUUACCACACCUAGAUAAUGAUUAAAAAAAGUUUGCUUACUUUAGGUAAUUAUGACCAUAUUGCAGCAGUAAUAAAUGGAGGUUUUCUCUACA